GGUGACCUCCUGGGAAGUCCUCGUGUUGCACCCUUU
rnacentral:rRNA from 6 species